rnacentral:sRNA from 1 species
UCCGGAGGGCAAGAGGUUCGACCCGAGCGAAGCGAGAAAACGUUGCGUCAGCAACGGCCCGCAGGGCGAGCCACGCAGUGGCAAGUCAUCCUCUGUCACCGGCAG